GGGCAGGGGAAACACUGGCAAUUCCCUCUGCUCGGGGCGAGGCGAGCGCCGACACCGCAGCCCCGCGGCGGUAGAGGGGGGGAUCCGCUCGCAUCCCGCGGACGCGAAGAGGGCACCCUGAUCCGCUCCGCAUCCCCUGGCGGCAAAGGGAGCAGCCGCCUCGGCUCCGCGCCCCGCGGGGAUGUAAGAGAUGCGCGGAGCACUCCACGCCCGCAAUCCAGACAGGAUAUUUUGAGCCCUCUCUCCCCAAAAAUACCCCGCCAAAACCCAGAAAUCUGCCCCCUCCCUCCAGCUUCGCUCUCCGACAGCCCCCGCGGCAGGAGAGAGAGCGCGGACCUCCCGCAGCCCCACCGAAGUUUCCGCGCCGCUCCGCGGGCGGCGGCGGAGGAGCUCCAGCUUCUUACCCGGCUGGUGGAGCGGGGUCCCGGGGCGGCCUGGAAGCGGCGGCGGCGGCUGCGCGGGGGCGCGGCGGCUUCCUGGGAGCUACAACUCCGCGGCGGCGCCCGGGCGAGCCGCGCGCCUGCGGAGCGGCGGCGAGCGGGGAGGAAAAGAGGAAAUGAGCGGGAGGCGCAUUGGAGGGAGGGAGGGGGAGGAAGGAGCCGUCGCCGAGGGACCAGGGAGAGCGAGGGACAGAGCGCAACUUCCCCGGCGGGGCAGCGGGCGCGCCGGGGGGCGGAGCGCACCGUACCGCCGCUCCGCGGCCGCCCCGCGGCGUGCGCAGCGCCGAGCCCCGCGCGGGGGCCGCCCGCCGCCGCCGCUCCCGCCGCGCCGGACACUUGGUAUCGCCCUGCCCGGCCCCGCCAGGGCCGCCGCGGGCAGGAAGUGCGGGGCCGGGGGGGCAGCGCGGAGAAGCAGCUCCGCGGGGCUGCGCGCCCGCGAGGGGCUGCGCUUCCCCCGCUGGCACUCACUGCCGGUCCCACCGGCACCGCGGGCGCGUGCAUGGGCAGCGGGGCGGGAAAAGUUCUGAUUUUUGAUGCUGGGGGAUUUUUCCUUUUUUUUUUUUUUUUGUUUGUGUGUUUGUGUAUGUGGUUUUUACCUCCAAAACAACUAAGGGAACGCCGGGCAGGGACCUCUCCUGCGGCCUCAGCUCGCCCCAGGCCCUGCACGCAUCCGCUGGCGCGGCUGAAAGUGCCCCGCGCUGGGUGCGCGGGGACGGAGGGAGGACGGCGGCAGCAGUGGCCGCUGGAAGCGAGAGCAGACGCCUCCCAGCACAUGGACCCCCACGCUUCCCUCUGA
rnacentral:lncRNA from 1 species